ensembl:lncRNA novel transcript
GUCAGCUGCGCGGCCAAGAGGAGCCACAGCCGCGGCCGCAUCGUGGCGCGCCCGGGACACCUGGCCCCGGGGGCUCGGCGGAGACAGUCGCGGCUGGGAAAUAAUGUUGAUAUUUGGAACCCAUGUCGAACUUCUAUGAAGAAAGGACAACGAAGAUUGCAGCCAGGGAUUUGCAGGAAUUUGUUCCUUUUGGUGGAGACCACUGCAAGCACCACCCUAAUGCUUUGAACCUUCAACUUCGCCAGCUGCAGCCAGCUUCUGAAUUAUGGUCUUCUAAUGGUGCUGCUGGCUUUGUGGGAUCCCUUCAGGAGGUUACAAUCCACGAGAAACAGAAGGAAAGCUGGCAGUUAAGGAAAGGAGUAAGUGAAAUUGGAGAAGAUGUGGACUAUGAUGAGGAACUCUAUGUUGCUGGAAAUAUGGUGAUAUGGAGCAAAGGAAGUAAAAGCCAGGCAUUGGCAGUUUAUAAAGCAUUUACAGUUGACAGUCCUGUUCAGCAGGAAGACAUGCAGUUCAUCUCCAUUUGAUGAAGGAAAACUUGUACUUAGAGAAGAAUGCCAGCUAAUAAAUGUAAAAGGAAUUGUAGAAUUAGAAUAUCACCAUUUUGUAACCUCCAUUGCAAUAAUGGAUUCAAACAAGGAUUGUAAAUGGAUACUAACACGGUUGGUUGAAAGAAUAUUACCAUGGCACCAACACAUCACCCUAUGGAUUACCUGGCACUGUGGUGUGACUUCAUUAUAUCACAGGAUAAGUCUGAAAAGGCCUACAGUAGCAAUGAAGUAGAAAAAUGCAUAUGUAUAUUGCAAAGCUCAUGUAUUAACAUGCAUAGCAUAGAAGGAAAGGAUUACAUAGCUUCCUUACCAUUUCAGGUUGCAAAUGUUUGGCCCACUAAAUAUGGAUUGUUGUUUGAACGAAGCGCUUCUUCACAUGAAGUACCUCCAGGUUCACCCAGAGAAUCUUUACCCACUAUGUUCAGCAUGCUGCACCCACUAGAUGAAAUAACUCCACUUGUUUGUAAAUCUGGAAGUCUUUUUGGUUCAUUACGGGUGCAAUAUGUUGUAGAUCAUGCAAUGAAAAUUGUUUUCCUCAAUACUGACCCCUCUAUUGUAAUGACUUAUGAUGCUGUUCAAAAUGUGCAUUCUGUGUGGACUCUCCGGAGAGUCAAAUCAGAGGAAGAGAAUGUUGUUUUAAAGUUCUCUGAACAUGGGGGAACCCCACGGAAUGUGGCCACUAGCAGCUCCCUCACAGCACAUCUCAGAAGCCUCUCCAAAGGAGAUUCCCCUGUGAUUUCACCUUUCCGGAAUUACUCCUCCAUUCACAGCCAGAGUCGCUCAACCUCAUCACCCAGUCUACAUUCUCGCUCACCUUCUAUUUCCAACAUGGCAGCUCUAAGUCGUGCUCAUUCUCCUGCCUUAGGAGUGCACUCUUUUUCAGGGGUGCAAAGGUUCAACAUUUCAAGCCAUAAUCAGUCUCCAAAGAGACAUAGUAUUUCUCAUUCUCCAAAUAUAGAGACGGGAUUUCACCGUGUUAGCCAGGAUAGUCUGGAUCUCCUGACCUCGUGAUCUGCCCGCCUCGGCCUCCCAAAGUGUUGGGAUUACAGAGAGAAAAAUUCACAAGCCUCAAAAGUGUUUAUUACAUCUGACCUAUGUGGGCAAAUUUCCUGUGCUUUUCAGUGGAGUCCCAGCUCCAGUUAUGUGACCAACAUACCAGCGAAGGAUGCAGCACCAGUGGAGAAAAUAGACACCAUGCUGGUCUUGGAAGGCAGUGGAAACCU